UACAGAGGUCCCAAGCGUUGUUCGGAUUCACUGGGCGUAAAGGGUGCGUAGGUGGCUAGGUAAGUCCGAUGUGAAAUCCCGGAGCUUAACUCCGGAACUGCAUUGGAUACUAUCUAGCUAGAGGGUUGGAGGGGGAACUGGAAUUCUCGGUGUAGCAGUGAAAUGCGUAGAUAUCGAGAGGAACACCGGUGGCGAAGGCGAGUUCCUGGACAACUCCUGACACUGAGGCACGAAAGCUAGGGGAGCAAACAGG
rnacentral:rRNA from 1 species